UUUAACAAAUAAAUAGUUUAACACAGUGUCUAAUAAAUACUGAUGGACUAAGUAAAUGCUUUUCAGAUUUCUGGAUUACCUUCAUGCUACAAGUAAGAAAACAGAUGAUCGUGAUGACCACUUGCUACAGACUUGUGACUAUCAAAUGGCAAGCAAAGAGAAGUGCCAUAUUCCUCCUGCGUCCUCCAAAGACAACAUGUUUUUCUCCUUAAAC
rnacentral:lncRNA from 1 species